rnacentral:rRNA from 1 species
CAGUAGCCGCGGUAAUACGUAGGGUGCAAGCGUUAAUCGGAAUUACUGGGCGUAAAGCGUGCGCAGGCGGUUAUAUAAGUCAGAUGUGAAAUCCCCGGGCUCAACCUGGGAACUGCAUUUGAGACUGUAUGGCUAGAGUGUGUCAGAGGGGGGUAGAAUUCCACGUGUAGCAGUGAAAUGCGUAGAGAUGUGGAGGAAUACCGAUGGCGAAGGCAGCCCCCUGAGAUAAUACUGACGUUCAUGCUCGAAAGCGUGGGUAGCAAACAGGAUUAGAUACCCCCGUAGUCCCUGUCUCUUAUAA